rnacentral:rRNA from 1 species
GAUCCUGCCAGAGGCCAUUGCUAUCGGAGUCCGAUUUAGCCAGGCUAGUUGCACGAGUUCAGACUCGUAGCAUAUAGCUCAGUAACACGUGGCCAAACUACCCUACAGACCGCAAUAACCUCGGGAAACUGAGGCCAAUAGCGGAUAUAACUCUCAUGCUGGAGUGCAGAGAGUUAGAAAUGUUCCGGCGCUGUAGGAUGUGGCUGCGGCCGAUUAGGUAGAUGGUGGGGUAACGGCCCACCAUGCCGAUAAUCGGUACAGGUUGGGAGAGCAAGAGCCUGGAGACGGUAUCUGAGACAAGAUACCGGGCCCUACGGGGCGCAGCAGGCGCGAAACCUUUACACUGCACGACAGUGCGAUAGGGGGACUCCGAGUGUGAGGGCAUAUAGCCCUCGCUUUUCUGAACCGUAAGGGGGUUCAGGAACAAGGACUGGGCAAGACCGGUGCCAGCCGCCGCGGUAAUACCGGCAGUCCAAGUGAUGGCCGAUAUUAUUGGGCCUAAAGCG